AUGAUUUGUGUGCAUUUUAUUUUUAGACAUUAAUCUCUAUCACCAACUCUGUGAUGAUAUAAGUUGCAACAUAUUUUCUAUAAAUAAUAAUGUCACAGCUCUUGAGAAAGCAUCAAAAGAAGUUGGAACUCCAACAGACACUCCUUUACUUAGAGACAAAA